GAUGAACGCUGGCGGCGUGCCUAAUACAUGCAAGUCGAGCGGCAGCACGGUCUUCGGACUGGUGGCGAGCGGCGGACGGCUGAGUAACGCGUAGGAACAUGCCCUAAAGUGAGGAAUAACUGCCCGAAAGGGGGGCUAAUGCCGCAUGUGCUCUUCGGAGUAAAGCUUUAUGCGCUUUAGGAGUGGCCUGCGUCCGAUUAGCUAGUUGGUGAGGUAAAUGCUCACCAAGGCGACGAUCGGUAGCUGGUCUGAGAGGAUGAUCAGCCAGACUGGAACUGAGAACGGUCCAGACUCCUACGGGAGGCAGCAGUAGGGAAUUUUCCACAAUGGGCGAGAGCCUGAUGGAGCAACGCCGCGUGCAGGAUGAAUGCCUUCGGGUUGUAAACUGCUUUUAUGUGCGAAGAAUUUGACUGUAACACAUGAAUAAGGACCGGCUAAUUCCGUGCCAGCAGCCGCCGUAA
rnacentral:rRNA from 1 species